GAGAGCUGGUUCUCCUUCACAGUGUCUGUUGAGGUUUUGCUAGUGGAGAAGGCAUGGCUGUAGACAAGGACAGAGGUGUGUUCUCAUGGAGUGAGCAGCAGGAAGAGAAAGCAGGCCUUAGUCUUCUCUCAAAUGCUCUGUCUCUGCCACGUCAGCCCUACCUCUGAAAGCUCUACGGUCUUCAAAAGAGGACCAGGAGCUGGAAACUACUGUUCCAGAUAAGCCUGCGGGGCUGUUUCUAAUUCAAGUCCUAACACAGUGUAACACAAAGGACCAGGCCAACCAACAACCUUACCUGUGAAGUAAAAAUACAGAAUUUACUCGGUUUCGAUGCUUAGGUCUCUGUACACAAAGGGGAAAAUGGCUCCCCUUUGUCCUUAUAAGGUUUGAGGCUGGGUACAAGCCAAGUUGACAAAGGUCAAGCUAACAAGAGAAAAAAAAAAAGAUGUUGAUGAGGUAUAUAUACACAACUAGACUCCCAUAAAACAAAAGACAAGAGGGAGGGUCGGAUGGUGGACGCUUAUACAGCAUCACAAGCCAGAGAAAAGUGAUUAUAGAAUAAGCAACCUCUAAUCGUGAAGCAGAAACCCAAGAAUCCUAUGAGCACAGCGCCUGAAAGCACCAUCAGCUGGAGAGCCAGACAAAGAAGCUGCUCGCCCUGAACGGUGGGCUUUCAGACUCCAGCAGCAGCAGAGCGCGGUGCACAGGCAGAGUGCAAAGCUCUGCUCAGAGCACAACGCACAACGGCCAGGUUCUGUGAACCUCCCGGUGCUGAGUCUGCCUUUCUGUGGCAAGUGAAAGCUGAAGUUUCGAAUAGGUCAUGAUCAUGAUACAGUG